rnacentral:lncRNA from 14 species
CACAUUCACCUCCUGAAGGCUAUGGAGCACCUGUGCCUGAACAACAGACAAGGAGCUCCUGACACCCGCUGGCUGCUGAUGAAUUAGUGCUGCACAGCUGGAGCUACUCAAGGGCUGCAGAUGCAAAUCCCAGAGCUUCUCCCACGUGUACUUGAGCACUGGAGCGCUGCAGGAUGCAUCUUGCUGGCACUGGCAGUUACAAGUGCAGCCCUUCAAACAGGAAUCAGGAGUGGGACAUGAGGUAAGGUCUCUACCAAAAAGCUGUUCCCAAAGCCAGAAGGAAAGAAGAGACCACUGCCAACCUCUGUGAAUCACCUGCUUCCAAUGGCAGCUCCACCCUGGGGAACAGGUUGGUGAUGUCUCUUGAUUUCACUGUGGGUUGUGGUGAGAUAAAACUUAAACAGGGGAAGUUUAGAUUGAAUA